GAUGAACGCUGGCGGCGUGCCUAACACAUGCAAGUCGAACGGAAAGACCCUGAGCUGGCUCCUCUAACGUUAGCGGCGGGCGGAUGAGUAACGUAUGCAUCCCAUACCUAUAGGACUGGGAUAACUAAGUGAAACCGAUGCUAGUAAUGUAUAAUAUCUUCAACCGCAUGGUUCAAUAGUUAAAGAGGGUUUUGCUGUCACUUAUAGCUGUAUCCGGGCUGUUUGAGCUGGUUGGUAAGGUAACGGCUUCCCAAGGCGACGAUGCGUGGCCGACCUGAGAGGGUGAUCGGCCACACUGGAAGUGAGACACGGUCCAGACUCCUACGGGAGGCAGCGGUAGGGAAGCGUGGGAAAUGGGCGAAAGCCUGAAGAAGCAACGCCGCGUGGGUGAAGAAGGGCUGCGGGUCGUAAAACGCUGUUAUGGGUGAAGAACAAAUGCAGCAGGAACGAAGCACGUUGUGACGGUACCUAAAGAAGAAGCACCGGCUAACUACGUG
rnacentral:rRNA from 1 species